GACGAACGCUGGCGGCACGCCUAACACAUGCAAGUCGAACGGAGAAUUUUGAGUUUACUUGAAAUUCUUAGUGGCGGACGGGUGAGUAACACGUGAGCAACCUGCCUCUGAGAGAGGGAUAGCUUCUGGAAACGGAUGGUAAUACCUCAUAACGUAUACUUAAGGCAUCUUAGGUAUACCAAAGAUUUAUUGCUGAAGGAUGGGCUCAUGUCUGAUUAGCUAGUUGGUGAGGUAACGGCUCACCAAGGCGACGAUCAGUAGCCGGUCUGAGAGGAUGAACGGCCACAUUGGGACUGAGAUACGGCCCAGACUCCUACGGGAGGCAGCAGUGGGGAAUAUUGGGCAAUGGGGGGAAACCCGUGACCCAGCAAUGCCGCGUGAAGGAAGAA
rnacentral:rRNA from 1 species